UCGACCGUACUUUACAGGAUCAUGUAUAUAGUACGUUUCCCGUCUUUGUUUUCCAAACAAGACACAUUUACUAAGUUGGAAGAUGAUAUGUAGCACCGGUUCAUAGCGGGAAGUGGUGAUUACGCUUGUUUUUGAAACGAGUGUUUUUACUUUGAAGAUCGUGCCUGUCAAAUUUUUCCAUUGACAAGGCAAGGACUUGGUUGCUUUCUGACAACU
rnacentral:snoRNA from 1 species